GGCCAGGUGGCGGAAUGGUAAUGCAUGUGAGACAAAUAGAGAGCUUGUAACGUUUCCUCGCAAGGUCUCCGUUCGAUUCGGGGUCUGGCCU